UUAAAAUCAAUUACAAUGGUCCGUUUAGUCUAAUGAAAUUUGUAGAGAUGUAAAUGUGUGUGCGUCGCGAUUUACAUAAGUACGGACCUAGAUUUAAAUACAGAAAAAUUUGUAACUAUACGAGAAAUCAAUAAGUACCCGUGUUAGUAAUGAAGACGCAAGCUUUUCACAAAAUUUUCUUUUAUUUUUCAACGUAGUAAUCCCCUUUUAGGAGGAUAUACUUUUCUCAACGCUUCUGCCAUUUUUUUAACCCCUUAGAAAAAUACGAUUUGUUGAACUUUGCAAAAUAGGCCUCUGUUUCAGCGAUGACCUCCUCAUUCGACGUGAAUUUCUUUCCACCGAGCCAUUUUUUUCAAGUUUGGAAACAAGAAGAAGUCACACAGGGGGCUAAAUCCGGAGAGUAUGGUGGAUGCGGCAACAAUUCGUAGCGUAAUUCGACCAAUUUGGCUGUGGCGACUGCAGAGGCGUGAGCCCGUACAUUAUGACACAAACAAAAAAUCUUAUCCACAACGCCAUAAAUUACACCUCUUUUAUGACAAAGUGGAUGGUUGAAUGGAAAUUAAGAAAUCUAUCGGAAAAGGUUGCUUUACGGCCAAUCUCCAUAGUGAACUGCAAUCUAGUGUGCAACGAAUUAAAAAUAUCCAAAAUAUCACCAACACUCUCAGACGGAACAGCUAAGAUAAUAUCAUCAAUGUAUCGAUAAUAAAAUAGCAGUCGACAAGGCAGCAUUCCGAUAACCAUUUUUUCAAAGUCUGCAUAACCAUAUUUGCAACAAUAGAUGACAAGGGUGAAUUCAUGGAGGUCCCAAAUAUUUGCUUGUAUAUUUUUUUAUUAAAGAUAAAAAUCGUAGGAUUUGAAACCAUCCGAAAGGCAAUCAAAAAUUCGUCCAAAGAAAUUUUAGUUUUCUUGGAUAUAGCAUCCCACCUUCCAACCACACUAUCAGAUGCCAAAUCUGUAGGUAUAUUAGUAAAUAGAGAUAUCACAUCCAAAGAAACCAACAUAGAAUCUGGUUUAACAUCUUUAAGUUUAUUAAUUAAGUCAAAGCUAUUUUUUAUAAAACUAGGAGUUUCUGGUAUAGAAUCUGUAAUGAUGUUAUGCAGAAACAAUGAUAGAUUACAUAAUGGGCUAUUUAAAGAUAAAACAAUGAUUCUCAGAGGAUAAUUUUGUUUAUGUAUCUUCGUUAAACCAUAUGCUCUAGGAAUGGAAUCCCAUCAGUCAUACGCAACUUCCGUUAUACGUUAAGUCAUCUUUUAAUUAUAAAUCUUUUGAUUAUAAAAAUUUCUUAAUUUUAAACUUUA